CCCAGACUCCUACGGGAGGCAGCAGUGGGGAAUAUUGCACAAUGGGGGAAACCCUGAUGCAGCGACGCCGCGUGGGUGAAGGAGUGCUUCGGCAUGUAAAGCCCUAUCGGCAGGGAAGAAGCAAGACGGUACCUGACUAAGAAGCCCCGGCUAACUACGUGCCAGCAGCCGCGGUAAUACGUAGGGGGCAAGCGUUAUCCGGAUUUACUGGGUGUAAAGGGAGCGUAGACGGUGAUGCAAGUCAGAAGUGAAAGCCCGGGGCUCAACUCCGGGACUGCUUUUGAAACUGUGUGACUGGAGUGCAGGAGAGGUAAGCGGAAUUCCUGGUGUAGCGGUGAAAUGCGUAGAUAUCAGGAGGAACACCAGUGGCGAAGGCGGCUUACUGGACUGUAACUGACGUUGAGGCUCGAAAGCGUGGGUAUCGAACAGGAUUAGAUACCCUCGUA
rnacentral:rRNA from 1 species